UUGUCUGUCAUGCUUUCAUUUAUUUCAGACUGCAAUAUCUGCCAUUCCUUCUUCCUUGAUAAGUGCAAUAUCCACGGGCCUCCAGUGUUUAUUAAAAACCCUUUAGUUGAAAUCGGUGUUGCAAAUAGGGCACGUCUCACUUUACCACAAGGAAUGAUCAUUAAAGUUUCCAAGAUCCCAAACGCAGGCCUUGGGGUCUGGAACGAGCGACGUGUCAUACCUAAUAGCAUCCACUUCGGGCCUUACGAAGGGGAGCUAACCAGUGAGAAAGAGGCAGCCCUCAGCGGAUAUUCAUGGAUGGUAUGUGAACUGUGCCAGAAAUGAUGAAGAGCAAAAUCUCGUGGCCUUUCAGUACAAAGGACAGAUCUUCUACAGAUCAUGCAAGCCAAUCCCUCCUGGUUGUGAGCUGCUGGUGUGGUACGGAGAUGAAUACGGCAAAGAGCUGGGGGUUGGACUGGAUUUUAUGUGGGAGAGGUCAAUAGAAAAGGACGUGGAGAAACACAAAUUACAUACCUGCCAUCACUGUGGAGCCUCCUUUACUGCAAAGCAUUACCUUGAAGACCAUGAGAAGAAAACUCACCCACGAGAAGAAAUAUUGAGAACAACCGAAAACUCUCAGGCUUCACACAGUACUGAAUGUGGAAGCAGUUUCAGUAAGAUAGACAAUGUUAAAAUACGUCAGCGACUUUGCACUGGGGACAAACCACAUACCUGUGUUGAAUGUGAUAGGAGUUCAAAUAAGACUGAACAGGCCAUCCUCAAAAAACAAACCAUUUUGGAUAUGUUUUCUAUUUGUGAGAAAAGAAGUUAUUUUUUGUAUUUGUUAGUUGUGUUUGCUUUUUGUUUCACUUCUGUGUAUCUAUUUUCAUUUCUUUUUGUUUUACUCGUUUUGUAGCGUGUGAUAAUUUUAAGCCCAACUUUUAUUUACAGUUCAUAGUAAAUUAAGAGCAGGUAGUACUUAUAGUAGUAAAAGGGAGACAUUCACAAAGCU